rnacentral:rRNA from 1 species
CGUAGGGUGCGAGCGUUAAUCGGAAUUACUGGGCGUAAAGCGUGCGCAGGCGGUUUUGUAAGCCAGAUGUGAAAUCCCCGGGCUCAACCUGGGAAUGGCAUUUGGGACUGCAAGGCUGGAGUGUGGCAGAGGGGACUAGAAUUCCUGGUGUAGCAGUGAAAUGCGUAGAUAUCAGGAGGAAUACCGAUGGCGAAGGCAGGUCCCUGGGUUAACACUGACGCUCAUGCACGAAAGCGUGGGGAGCAA